rnacentral:misc_RNA from 1 species
GUCUGGCGAGUAACAUAAUGAAUCUUGGCAAGGCAUUUUAGAGGAUGUCUGUGUGCGGAAGUGGGCGAGUGCAUUGGCAAACUGGUGGCCAACAUGCUGCUUAAGUCUUUGUGUUGGGCGAGCGCAACAAAUGGUGUGUGGGCUCCUACGUGUGAGGGAGUGUGACAAGUUGCGCAGGGAAGCGACGUGAAAGCACGCAAACGAGGGCAUUUGCGGGAUUGGGUCGGGGAGAAUGUAAUGGUUCGGCAGUUCCCCACUCCUAUUCUUGGCAUUUGGCAAGGCCGUCACAAGCUAUCUCUUGUCCUAUGGAGCUAACCAGUGUGAAUCUGUACAGGUACGUGCGAGAAACCUCGAACAUGCUUAAUAUUUGGGCUUAUGCGAGCUUGUCAGAUAGGGGGAAAGGCUGGCCUACAUUACCAAUCCUAUGAUCCUAUCUAAACCAAAAGGAAGGAAAAUGAGAAAUUAAAAGAGAAGAAAAAAAAAUCUGUCCCACAUAACCAAUCAAGUGCCAGUAACCAAUCAAGUGCCGGUGACGAACUCAAGUGAACAGCAACCUCCCAACCCCUUAUGUGACCAAACGUCAAAGGUAAGCUUGUUUCAGACAGCAGAAAUGAAAAAGGGGGAGAAGUCCCUUCAACUUGCAACUCCAUUUUAACUGGUCUCUUAGCUCAAGUCAUUCUCGAAGGUAUCAAAGACAAGGUGAAGUCAAGAAAACAGAAGAGCAACGAAUGCAGUUCCUCACAAAAAUGCCAAAUAACAUAAAAUGAACAAAGGUCUCUUUGAAGUCUCUAGCCAAAAACUUUAACCGGCUAGACAUCUCCUUAAACUACAUCAGAUAGAAAGUACCAAAGGUUUGAACAUGGGUUGCUUUUUAAGCACAAUCAUAUCAAACAUGAAAGAAAAGUAUUUAGUAAUCAGUAACAACGAAGCACAGUAAUUUCUUUACUAGGUGAAAUACAGGUUACCUUUGGUUGGAAAACAUCAUAGUU